rnacentral:rRNA from 1 species
GACGAACGCUGGCGGCGUGCCUAAUACAUGCAAGUUGAGCGCUGAAGGUUGGUACUUGUACCGACUGGAUGAGCAGCGAACGGGUGAGUAACGCGUGGGGAAUCUGCCUUUGAGCGGGGGACAACAUUUGGAAACGAAUGCUAAUACCGCAUAAAAACUUUAAACACAAGUUUUAAGUUUGAAAGAUGCAAUUGCAUCACUCAAAGAUGAUCCCGCGUUGUAUUAGCUAGUUGGUGAGGUAAAGGCUCACCAAGGCGAUGAUACAUAGCCGACCUGAGAGGGUGAUCGGCCACAUUGGGACUGAGACACGGCCCAAACCCCUACGGGAGGCAGCAGUAGGGAAUCUUCGGCAAUGGACGAAAGUCUGACCGAGCAACGCCGCGUGAGUGAAGAAGGUUUUCGGAUCGUAAAACUCUGUUGGUAGAGAAGAACGUUGGUGGGAGUGGAAAGCUCAUCAAGUGACGGUAACUACCCAGAAAGGGACGGCUAACUACGUG